UAAAGUCGAUAGUGAACUGAU
rnacentral:piRNA from 1 species